GAAUUGCACGCUUCACUCCUGCGGUGCGGCCGCUUGAGUCGGAAGACAGCCACCAGGCGCGAGUCUCGGGGGCUGAAGGCGCGCGCUAAGCCCAGUCUCGCGAGAGCUGGAAAUGCAGUUCCGUCGGAGGAUGGCGGGGUGCAGGAGGGAUUAGGUCCUCGGCGGUGCGUUAACUGUUCUCCGAGUCCGAUCGCCUACCUCACCGCCAGAAUCCUGUCGUGCGGUGUCUGGACUGCGCCUUCAACCCCACCUCCGCGGCCGAAAAGUUAGGCUAACACGUACCGAACGCCAGGGUCUGGGUGCUCGCCCCUGGUCGCGGGGCCGCGCGCGCCGAGUGGCGGUAGCCGUCGCCGCCGGUGGAGAUGAGCCUUUGUUACGCCGGAGGAGGGCAGCGGCUGCACACUUAGCUGCCGCUGAGGUUUUAUUGGAAGGAAAGGGUUGCGCUGUGUAGCCCUGGUUGACCCGGAGCACACAAGAGAUCCACCUGCCUGAGCUUUCCAUAACAGUGCCACCAUGCCCAGCGUGACUUCCAUUUCCUGUCACUGGUUCUUCCAAAUUUCACUGCACACAGUUAUAAAAUAAAUUAUAAAAUAAAUCUCACGUAACAUUA